GAUGAACGCUGGCGGCGUGCCUAAUACAUGCAAGUCGAGCGAACAGACGAGGAGCUUGCUCCUCUGACGUUAGCGGCGGACGGGUGAGUAACACGUGGAUAACCUACCUAUAAGACUGGGAUAACUUCGGGAAACCGGAGCGAAUACCGGAUAAUAUAUUGAACCGCAUGGUUCAAUAGUGAAAGACGGGUUUGCUGUCACUUAUAGAUGGAUCCGCGCCGCAUUAGCGAGUUGGUAAGGUAACGGCUUACCAAGGCAACGAUGCGUAGCCGACCUGAGAGAGUGAUCGGCCACACUGGAACUGAGACACGGUCCAGACUCCUACGGGAGGCAGCAGUAGGGACUCUUCCGCAAUGGGCGAAAGCAUGACGGAGCAACGCGGCGUGAGUGAUGAAGGUCUUCGGAUCGUAAAACUCUGUGAUUAGGGAAGAACAAAUGUGUAAGUAACUAUGCACGUCUUGACGGUACCUAAUCAGAAAGCCACGGCUAACUACGUG
rnacentral:rRNA from 1 species